rnacentral:rRNA from 1 species
CCUACGGGUGGCAGCAGUGAGGAAUAUUGGUCAAUGGGCGGGAGCCUGAACCAGCCAAGUCGCGUGAGGGAAGACGGUCCUACGGAUUGUAAACUUCUUUUGCCGGGGAGCAACGGGGUCCUUGCGAGGGCCCAAUGAGAGUACCCGGAGAAAAAGCAUCGGCAAACUCCGUGCCAGCAGCCGCGGUAAUACGUAGGAUGCGAGCGUUAUCCGGAUUUAUUGGGUUAAAGGGGUGCGUAGGCGGGCUGUUAAGUCAGCGGUAAAAUGUCGGGGCUCAACCCCGGCCUGCCGUUGAAACUGGCGGCCUCGAGUGGGCGAGAGGUAUGCGGAAUGCGUGGUGUAGCGGUGAAAUGCAUAGAGAUCACGCAGAACUCCGAUGGCGAAGGCAGCAUACCGGCGCCCUACUGACGCUGAGGCACGAAAGCGUGGGUAGCGAACAGGAUUAGAUACCCCAGUAGUC